AUGAAGGCCCUGCAGCCCCCGCCGCCCGAUUUACCACCUGUUGUGUGCUGGGGGUACAGAGGGUCUGAGCACCUCCCUCACACAGGCAGAACCCUGGCUCCCAUGUUCACCAUGCUGAGAGAGACCUUCAGGGGACAGCAGGAGGCCAGCCGGGAAAUGGGCCCCCACUUGUCCAGAGGCAGAGCCCGCGCAUGCCCGACCUCGCUCCUCGCGGCUCCCUGGGCAGCAGCUCCCUGGCAGUUGGAACUGGAAGGCUUCUCAGAGUCCUCGUAGCCCCACCGCCCUCCCCGCUCUCGGGGGUGGGCAUUGGGGGGACAGAGCCAGGGCAGGGAGGAAGACAGGGCCCGGCUCACCCCACAGCUCAGCCCAUGAGGGUGCGCAGAGCAGGGCUGGCAGGAGAGGGCCACUCCACACCCAGCCCUGUUGAAGAAAAAGAACAGAAACAGGGAACAGAAAGUUGUCAGUUGCUGUGUAACAAUUUGCCCCGCAGCUUAGCCCCUUCAGACAAAUGUAGCUGCACAGUGUCUGUGGGUCAGACAUCCGGGCCCGGUGAAUUAGCCUCUCCCUCAAGGUCCCUCGCGAGGCCUCUGUCAGGACCCCGCCGGACUGUGAGUGGACUGCAGGCUCCGGGCGGGGAGGCUCCGCGUCUCUGCUGGCCCCGCGGCUGUGGGCAGGAUUCAGUUUCUCACGGGCUAUUAGAGUGAGGGCCUCGAUCUUUUCUGCUUUGUGGCUGGAGGCCUCACUCAGUUCUCUGCUUCACGGACCUUUCCUUGGCACAGCUCCCGCAUAGCUCAGCAAGCCGUAAAGGCAGGCUCCUGCAGCCAAAGGGAGUUCCCCCCCUUUUCUGCUGUGUUCUGUUUGUGUGGGUUCAGCCCAGGGGAGGAGGUUCCACAGGACAGACACCAGGAGUUGGGGGCGUUGAGGGCCAUCUCCCAGGCUGCCCACCACAGCCCCCACGUGGCCGCCUGUGUCUGUGUUCUUGCCACUGUCCCUACCCUCAGGGAGUGGGUCUGGUCUCAUCAGGGAGGGCGGCGCUCUCUUCACUCUCUCCUUACUCUGGUGUUUCACUGUGAUUUUAAAAACUGAAACUGGAAUUGUUACCCCUUGACAUAGCUGCACCCUGCGUGGGCCUCUGCGACGCCCCUCCUUCUCUUAAGCCUUUCCAAGCGGUCUGACCAUUUUUAAGUCCCAUUACCUGAAUGACACAGAGCAUCUUAAGCUUCUGAGUGACUUGUGUUUUCCUGAGAGACAGAGGGGACCCCCAAUCUGUUUCCAGAGGCCCUGAUGGUGUCGUCUUGGGAGUGGAGGAACCUGAGGGAAAGUCCCGGGGGCGAGUCAGGGGAGAGCUCUGCCCUGGCGCCCUUGCACAUAUCCAUAUGGGCCACAGCUGCACCCUGCUCUCAGCAGAGCACCUCGCCAUGCUCCUGGGCACAGCCGGGCCCUCUCGCCUCCCUGCGGCUCCUAAUGCCUCCCAGGCUCUGCUGAGGUCACCUUGGGCACUUAGCGUGGCUGCAGCUCUUUGCGGCCCGGUGUCCCUGUCAUCCAUGUGGCAGUCAUGUGGUCACUUUUGGUCACUUUUCGGCACUGCCCUGCACAAGGUCCAUGGGGACUGGGCACCUCCGGCCAUUCUUUCUUUGGUUGUCUGUGCAAAUAAUAAACCAAAUCUGAGAAAGUC